rnacentral:rRNA from 1 species
AUGGGUCAGCGACUUAUAUUCUGUAGCAAGGUUAACCGUAUAGGGGAGCCGGAGGGAAACCGAGUCUUAACCGGGCGUUAAGUUGCAGGGUAUAGACCCGAAACCCGGUGAUCUAGCCAUGGGCAGGUUGAAGGUUGGGUAACACUAACUGGAGGACCGAACCGACUAAUGUUGAAAAAUUAGCGGAUGACCUGUGGCUGGGGGUGAAAGGCCAAUCAAACCGGGAGAUAGCUGGUUCUCCCCGAAAGCUAUUUAGGUAGCGCCUCGUGAAUUCAUCUCCGGGGGUAGAGCACUGUUUCGGCUAGGGGGCCAUCCCGGCUUACCAACCCGAUGCAAACUGCGAAUACCGGAGAAUGUUAUCACGGGAGACACACGGCGGGUGCUAACGUCCGUCGUGAAGAGGGAAACAACCCAGACCGCCAGCUAAGGUCCCAAAGUCAUGGUUAAGUGGGAAACGAUGUGGGAAGGCCCAGACAGCCAGGAUGUUGGCUUAGAAGCAGCCAUCAUUUAAAGAAAGCGUAAUAGCUCACUGGUCGAGUCGGCCUGCGCGGAAGAUGUAACGGGGCUAAACCAUGCACCGAAGCUGCGGCAGCGAACGUAUCACCCAAGACAACUUUACGGAGUUGACGAUUGACGGAGCGAAGCGACGUCAAAGCGUUCAUUAAAGUCGAGUUGGCUUAGGGAUACGUUCGUUGGGUAGGGGAGCGUUCUGUAAGCCUGUGAAGGUGUGUCGUGAGGCAUGCUGGAGGUAUCAGAAGUGCGAAUGCUGACAUAAGUAACGAUAAAGCGGGUGAAAAGCCCGCUCGCCGGAAGACCAAGGGUUCCUGUCCAACGUUAAUCGGGGCAGGGUGAGUCGACCCCUAAGGCGAGGCCGAAAGGCGUAGUCGAUGGGAAACGGGUUAAUAUUCCCGUACUUGGUGUUACUGCGAAGGGGGGACGGAGAAGGCUAUGUUGGCCGGGCGACGGUUGUCCCGGUUUAAGCGUGUAGGUGUGUGUUCCAGGUAAAUCCGGUUCACUUUAACACUGAGGCGUGACGACGAGGCACUACGGUGCUGAAGCAACAAAUGCCCUGCUUCCAGGAAAAGCCUCUAAGCAUCAGGUAACACGAAAUCGUACCCCAAACCGACACAGGUGGUCAGGUAGAGAAUACCAAGGCGCUUGAGAGAACUCGGGUGAAGGAACUAGGCAAAAUGGUGCCGUAACUUCGGGAGAAGGCACGCUGACACGUAGGUGAAGUGAUUUACUCAUGGAGCUGAAGUCAGUCGAAGAUACCAGCUGGCUGCAACUGUUUAUUAAAAACACAGCACUGUGCAAACACGAAAGUGGACGUAUACGGUGUGACGCCUGCCCGGUGCCGGAAGGUUAAUUGAUGGGGUCAGCGUAAGCGAAGCUCCUGAUCGAAGCCCCGGUAAACGGCGGCCGU